rnacentral:rRNA from 1 species
AGAUUGAACGCUGGCGACAGGCCUAACACAUGCAAGUCGAGCGGUAGAGAGGUGCUUGCAUCUCUUGAGAGCGGCGGACGGGUGAGUAAUGCCUAGGAAUCUGCCUAGUGGUGGGAGAUAACGUUCGGAAACGGACGCUAAUACCGCAUACGUCCUACGGGAGAAAGCGGGGGACCUUCGGGCCUCGCGCCAUUAGAUGAGCCUAGGUCGGAUUAGCUAGUUGGUGAGGUAAUGGCUCACCAAGGCGACGAUCCGUAACUGGUCUGAGAGGAUGAUCAGUCACACUGGAACUGA